GUCUGUUUCAAAGUAUUUACAAUUCAUAUAAAAGAACUCUUAAAUGUAUGGUUAGUAAGUUUGCCACUGAUAUUUCCUGGUGUUAAGAGCAAAUUUUCCUUUAACGAAAUGAAAUUCCUGAUCAUCUUCUGUUUAUUCGUGGCUGCCGUCAGUGCUCAGUACGGGAAAUCAAUUCUCCCUCCUUUCGGAUUUCCGCUCAGUUUCCCAAGUUCGGAAGAAUAUGCUGCUUCUCUAGGUGGGGCCAAAGUAGGACUUUACGGCAAAUCUGGAAAUAGUGGCUUCAGAUUCCCUUAUGGCUUUCCAUACGGAUUACCUUUCAAUCCUUAUGGGUUCCCUAAAGGAUCAGAUAUCACCGGAGCCAGUCUUGGAGGUGCCAGAGUCGGCCUGUACGGAAAAGAUAGACAAGGAUGAUGUGAAUUUUUAUAAAAGGCUUUCUCCUUUUCAGGUCUUGCUCUCUAAACUUGCUUCUUUGCUCCUGAGUCAUUUUGAAUUCCCAUGAGGAAAAGAAAAGAAAAAAAGAAGGGGAAAAAA